rnacentral:tRNA from 1 species
AAUGAGAUGGCUGAGGGAUAAGCAGUAGAUUGUAAAUCUAUAGACGAGUAUUAACUCUCUCAUUA